GGUGGAGGAGGGAUGUGGUGAAGCCCUGCAAGUAGGUACUGAAUGUGUUUUACAAUCCACAGCAUGUUCACAUGGCGGGGAUGGAGGUGCUGGAGCAGAUGAUGUGAUAGCUCUUAAUGCAACGCAGAGCGUGUGCAUGUGGCUGGAUGGUGGAAAGCACAAGAGCUGAUAAACGCUUUGAAAUGCUGCAGAAAACCACGGUGGAAAAGAAGAUUGGAUUGAUGUGAGGAGUAGAAGGCAGUCCUGGGCUAUUUUGUGAUGUGCUGCCAAAGAGUUAAACGACCCUUAUGAAAGAAAGAAAUACAGCUGGACUGGUGCCGGAGAAAAAGGAGGAAUUAGAAGCAAGCAGAGAACACGCGCUGCUCCUGGAGACUAACAAAAUAACGCCUGGUCCUGCUCCAAGGAGGCUUCUGAGCACUAGGCAAAGGCAAACAGGCACCAGACCUCAGUAAAAAUGCUGUUAGUGCUCUGCUUGGGUGACUCUGCAGCAGUUCAGCUGGAAGCAAUGCUGAACUUUCAACUCUGUGACUGUCUGCAUGGGAGAACCAAGCAGGAGGAAAGGCAGAAGAACCUUCGUGUAUUUAACCUCUGCCGACACACUCUUAAAUCACUGAUUUAAAAAGAACUCAGCAUCGUGGAAAUGAAUUAUGAAUGCUGUUUUCAAAACACAGCUCUAUCCUGUUGAUCAGUCCUCAAGACAAAGACUUUCAAUGCCUUAUUAAUUUUUCCUUGCUAAUUCAAUACCGCAAGAUUGUCAUGAUAAUUAGUUGUCUGAGCAAGGUUGUCAUGAUAAUUAGUUGCCUGAGUAGGCUAUGUACCUUCUUAUCAC
rnacentral:lncRNA from 1 species